ensembl:snRNA U6 U6 spliceosomal RNA
GUGCUCACUUCAGCAUCACAUAUACUAAAAUUAGAACAAUACAGAGAAAAUUAGCCUCAACAAUGACAUACAAAUUCAUGAAGCAUUUCAUAUCUUU